rnacentral:rRNA from 1 species
GACGAACGCUGGCGGCGUGCUUAACACAUGCAAGUCGAACGGAAAGGCUCCUGCUUGCAGGGGUACUCGAGUGGCGAACGGGUGAGUAACACGUGGGUGAUCUGCCCUGCACUUCGGGAUAAGCCUGGGAAACUGGGUCUAAUACCGGAUAGGACGAUGGUUUGGAUGCCAUUGUGGAAAGUUUUUUCGGUGUGGGAUGAGCUCGCGGCCUAUCAGCUUGUUGGUGGGGUAAUGGCCUACCAAGGCGUCGACGGGUAGCCGGCCUGAGAGGGUGUACGGCCACAUUGGGACUGAGAUACGGCCCAGACUCCUACGGGAGGCAGCAGUGGGGAAUAUUGCACAAUGGGCGCAAGCCUGAUGCAGCGACGCCGCGUGGGGGAUGACGGCCUUCGGGUUGUAAACUCCUUUCGCUAGGGACGAAGCGCAAGUGACGGUACCUGGAGAAGAAGCACCGGCUAACUACGUG